rfam:Cephalotus follicularis DNA, scaffold: scaffold581, isolate: St1.
GGGUGCGAUCAUACCAGCACUAAUGCACCGGAUCCCAUCAGAACUCCGAAGUUAAGCGUGCUUAGACGAUGUAUAAUAGUUUGACACAUACC